rnacentral:tRNA from 1 species
GUGGAUAUAGCUCAAUGGUCGAGCACAUAUUUAGAAGGCAUGAGGUCCUGGGUUCAACCCCCAAUACCUCCA